rnacentral:piRNA from 1 species
UGUGACUGUCAACCUAUAUUUCGUGUUGA